rnacentral:miRNA from 1 species
CAGGCUGGUUAGAUGGUAGUCA